UAAAUUUUAGCUUACUUUAUUUAUUUGAGUUAAAAAUUCUUGUUUAAUUAAAUUAUUUUUAAGAAUAUUAAGUUUUUGUAUAGAAUAUAGAUAAAAUUGUUUUUGUGGUAGGUUAAUUGUAUCGUGAGAGGUUCAUUGAAAUAGUUUGAAAAUAUAUUUAUUUAACAGUAGGUUAAUUGCCGUACCUUGUGUAUCAGGGUUUAUUAAAAAGUUUAUAAAUAUUUGUAUUUUCCCGAUUUGAAGAGAGCUAAAUAAAUAUUUUAGUUAAUGUGGAAUAAUUAUUAAAAAUAUUUAUUUAGUAAUGAAACGUUAUCCGUUCUUUAAGAUAUCUGGUUUUCUAAGAAAUGAAUUUAAUUCAGGUUUUUGAGAGUAUUUAUUUAAUUUAUUAAAUAAAUUGUUUUUUAAAACUAAUACUUUGGGGGAUAAGCUCCAAGGUAGGUUUUAUAAUUUUAAUAGAUUUCAAAAAAUUUUGUAGGCUUAGAAUUAGCCAUCUAUUAAAGGAUGUUAUAAUUUAAUUUUUUGUAAAAUUAAUUUUCUUCGUAUUUAAGUUUUAUAUUAGAACAAUUUAUUAAAUUUUUGUUUAAUGGUGAUAAUGAUAAAAUUAGUAUAAAAAUUGUUUUUAUAGUUUAAAAAAAUGUGAGGUUACAUUAAGGAAUUAGGCAAAUUAAUGCUCGCCUGUUUAACAAAAACAUGUCUUCUUGAAUAAAAUUUGAAGUCUGACCUGCCCACUGAAUUAAAUAUUUAAAGGGCCGCGGUAUUUUGACCGUGCAAAGGUAGCAUAAUCAUUAGUCUUUUAAUUGAAGGCUAGAAUGAAUGGUUGGACGAGGUAUUGACUGUCUCGGUGUGAUUGAAAUUAGAAUUUAACUUUUAAGUUAAAAGGCUUAAAUGUCUUUAGAGGACGAGAAGACCCUAUAGAGCUUUAUAUUUUAAGGUAAUUAUUUAUUUAGAUAAAUUUUUAUAAUAGCUGGAUAAAUAUUUUGUUGGGGUGACAGGAAGAUAGAUAAAACUCUUUUUAGUUUAUUUACAUUGAUAUAUGAAUUGUUGAUCCAUUAUUAUUGAUUAUAAGACUAAGUUACCUUAGGGAUAACAGCGUAAUCUUUUUCGAGAGUUCUUAUCGACAAAAAGGGUUGCGACCUCGAUGUUGGAUUAAGGGUAAUUUUGGGUGUAGAUGUUCAAAGUUUAGGUCUGUUCGACCUUUAAAUCCUUACAUGAUCUGAGUUCAGACCGGUGUAAGCCAGGUCGGUUUCUAUCCUUAAAUUAAUAAUGAUACUUUAGUACGAAAGGACCAAGUAUUGGGAAAUUUUUUUCUUUAUUUGUUGAUUAAUAUUAACUUUCUAAA
rnacentral:rRNA from 1 species